rnacentral:rRNA from 1 species
UACGUAGGGUGCAAGCGUUGUCCGGAAUUAUUGGGCGUAAAGAGCUCGUAGGCGGUUCGUCGCGUCGGCUGUGAAAUCCCGAGGCUCAACCUCGGGUCUGCAGUCGAUACGGGCGGACUGGAGUUCGGCAGGGGAGACUGGAAUUCCGUGGUGAGCGGUGAAAUGCGCAGAGUAUCAGGAGGAACACCGGUGGCGAAGGCGGGUCUCGUGGGCCGAUGACUGACGCUGGAGGAGCGAAA